GACGAACGCUGGCGGCGUGCUUAACACAUGCAAGUCGAGCGGAAAGGCCACUUCGGUGGUACUCGAGCGGCGAACGGGUGAGUAACACGUGAGUAAUCUGCCCCUGGCUUUGGGAUAGCCACCGGAAACGGUGAUUAAUACCGGAUACGACCACUUCUCGCAUGGGAUGGUGGUGGAAAGUUUUUCGGCCAGGGAUGUGCUCGCGGCCUAUCAGCUUGAUGGUGAGGUAAUGGCUCACCAUGGCUUCGACGGGUAGCCGGCCUGAGAGGGUGACCGGUCACACUGGGACUGAGACACGGCCCAGACUCCUACGGGAGGCAGCAGUGGGGAAUAUUGGACAAUGGGCGGAAGCCUGAUCCGGCAACGCCGCGUGAGGGAUGACGGCCUUCGGGUUGUAAACCUCUUCCAGCAGGGACGAAGCGCAAGUGACGGUACCUGCAGAAGAAGCACCGGCCAACUACGUGCCAGCCGCCGCUGUAACAC
rnacentral:rRNA from 1 species